UCCUACGGGAGGCAGCAGUGAGGAAUAUUGGACAAUGGUCGGAAGACUGAUCCAGCCAUGCCGCGUGCAGGAUGACUGCCCUAUGGGUUGUAAACUGCUUUUGUACGAGAAGAACACCCUCUUCGUGAAGAGGACUGACGGUAUCGUACGAAUAAGGACCGGCUAACUCCGUGCCAGCAGCCGCGGUAAUACGGAGGGUCCGAGCGUUAUCCGGAAUCAUUGGGUUUAAAGGGUCCGUAGGCGGGCUAUUAAGUCAGAGGUGAAAUUGUGCAGCUCAACUGUAGAACUGCCUUUGAUACUGAUAGUCUUGAGUUAUGGUGAGGUAGCCGGAACAUGUGGUGUAGCGGUGAAAUGCAUAGAUAUCACAUAGAACGCCGAUUGCGAAGGCAGGUUACCAACCAUAUACUGACGCUGAUGGACGAGAGCGUGGGGAGCGAACAGGAUUAGAUACCCUGGUAGUCCACGCCGUAAACUAUGAUUACUCGCUGUUGCGUAAGCAGUGGCCAAGCGAAAGCGAUAAGUAAUCCACCUGGGGAGUACGUUCGCAAGAAUAAAACUCAAAUGAAUUGACGGA
rnacentral:rRNA from 1 species